GCAGUGGUUGUUAGGUGAUAAAAUUCUUGCCUUCCAUGCAGGAGACCCAGGUUCGAUUCCCGGCCAAUGCA
rnacentral:tRNA from 1 species